ensembl:lncRNA
CGAAGACCUCCGGAGCUUCCGGGAACGCCCACGCCGCCCAACGGCGUGACCCAUCCCGGGAUGGAGUCGCUGCCUCUCUCUCAGCGCAGGUUACCCAGCGCUGCGGGUCAAACAAGGAUAAACCAAACAUGAGAAAGCUGCAGACUGACUGACUGGCCCGAUCAUGUGCGCCCUUGGCCCCAGUCCCAAAAAAAAAAAAAAGUGUUUAGCCAAAAUACAGCACAGCUUAGGCUGUUAAAAAGAGAAAAAAAAAUCACGGGGUAAUCACAAGAGAAGGGGCCUGGCUCUCCGCAGAGGUAAGCUGGGGAGGAGCAGGGACUGUCUGAGCCCCGAGGCCGAUCUGCUUGGUGAGUGUCGGUGUUGACGGGAUUUCCAGCUCGACGCGUCGUGUGUUUUUACCCGAUGACAGGCCUGCAAGAGAAAGGAAAUCUCUGCAGACCUUAUAACCUUCAUUCUAAAGAACGUGCCGGCACUCGCAGGGACUGAGUUAUCGCCUUCAGUAAACCGCUGUUGGAAUCACCACGUGUUUUUCUUGAGGGAGAGGAGUCAGUAUGCUGCGGCCCCUUAGGGAGAGAGUCAGGAGAUGUCUCCCCUCCAUCAUGGGAAAGCUGAUGGCUGAGGAGCAUUUGUAGAGUGAGGAAAUAAGUUCGUUAUAGCGGAAUAAAAUCAAAGUGUGCGUAGGGAAUUAGUGGUGUACGCGUACUUUCUGCUGUUAUUAGGUAGCCCAGCCGGUCUGGAGCCCGGCAAAGGCAAUUGUUGCUCAUUUAGCUGUCAAAGAGCCAUAACUCAGAGGCGCACACUGGCAGCCUUUACUUAAUAAAAUGUUGUCCAGUGUGUUUUUUCUGGUGACAUGUCCUCGACCCCUUUUUAAGGUUAAAAUCAGCAGUAGAUUUUCUUUCUUUUAAGCUGAGCCCCUUUAGGUGCUGCUUGUUUUCUACUUGUUGGUGUCCAAAGAUAUCCUGCAGUUUAGGCUCAACAAGUCUCGAUGUGCAGGUUUGUCACUCUUGCCAGCACGAAUGCAUUAAAGUGGUAAUUUAUUAAUGCACAUCACCAUUUUUUUUUAAAAACUGCUCUAGGAUGUAAUUUAAGAGUGCGAUGGAGAUGGAGACGGAGAGAAAGAGGCAGACAGCGCUGCGCUAUGGAAUUACUGUGACUGGCUGUCAAAGUUGAGCAUUGUAACCGAAUGGCUUGGGGCUGUCAAUGUCAGCGCGCUGGCAGUCCAGAUAAAAGGUACAGAAUAGGGAGAAUGGAGCCACAAAGUUUGAGAAAGUUUGGAAAACUAGUGCAGCACUGAAAGCUGAAGAGGCAGACGUGGAUAACAAAAUGCAGAAGUAAAGUAUUUAAAUAUGUGUUCCAGGGGCCGCGAAAACAAACUGUAAACUAAGUGUUAACAUAUUAGCAUUUUUUAUAUUGAUUUGGCGAACAACAUAUUAUCAUUCAUUCAGAAUCGUGUUUCUGUUUAAAUAUUCAUUCUUUUAGCACUGUUUUGGUUGCCAUCAUCUCUCAUUUAAGAUAUUGUUGUUGCUGCCUGGUGUUUCGUGAGAGUGAACCAAAGCAAAGCAAUUUGCGGGAUUCGUAAAACUAAAAGGGAAGUUUAAAGACGCUUAAAUCCUAUGUGGAGUCGCGAGAAACAUCUGCAUUGGGAAUAAUGAUGCGACAUGUGACUAAGUCCCCCAGCUGGAUUAAACCAGAUAAAAGCAAUAACGGCUUGAGGCUUUCCAGAGCAUCAGCGGUCUACAACACGUAAUAACAACGGUAUAAUUUAAUUUAUUAUUAUUACAUCCAGAGGCGACGGACCACCUGGUGGACGCACAAUAGGUGUUAUUUGAUGCUGUGGUUCUAAAGGUUAUAGCAAGAUGAUACAUGUGUGUGUGAAGCAGAAUCUUCCCAAAGAGCAACACUGACCUGACGCUCCAGAUCACAGCAAACAAUUAAUCUACAUUUGUAAAUCCAUGAAGUUCUGACCAGCAGCAGAAACCUGGAACAGAGGAUGUCAGAGUGAGGGAGAGAGAACGGCUGCUGUCUGUCUGAGCUCGGUUAUUACUAAGGUUAUUAUUUCAUGUCAGUGCUCGGAUGAGAUGAAUAUUUGCGAAAUUCACACCAUUAAAUUUACAUUUGCUCCACUUCUUCGUGUCCCGUCAUGCAUAAAAACGUGGCUGUGGUUUCACAAGUAUAAUGAAGCAAAGAGACAAUGUCAUACUAAAUAAUGGAUGCGUUGUUAUUUCAUUUCAUGUCACCGCUGCGUCGUCUGCAUGAGAGGUGCUUCUCUCUUUCUUCCUCGCGUCUUUAUCGGAACAAUCAAAUGCUUCGCGAAGGGAAGCUGGUGGUGAAAAGCACCACACGUGGCUUUAACUUGCCUUGUGAGAAGAAAAGAGGGACAAUCUCUACUUUCAAACGUUGUAGCUACAGGCGGCAAAUAAAGCCUCAGAUCCCCUCAGAAACAUCAACGCCUGAGAGAAGAAUCAAGGAAAAAGUUGUAGUGCUUCAGAAUAUGCACAGAAAAACUGAUUAACUAAUCUUAAUAACAGGUUGGGACAAAUCUGAAAGGUAUAAUAAUGUUAUAGUACACCAAUAAUAAUAAUAAUAUGUGCUGAAAAAAAAACUUUCUGGAACAAAUUAUGUUUAAUUUAUUUGGACUUUCCCUUAUUAAAUCCGUCUUUGGUUGAACUCUUCAUAACCGGUGAUGUUUAAAAGGCAGCACAGGCCAAAAAACAUUUUGGGCAACAUUAGAAUAAGUCAUGAAAGAGAGAAGUUGGCAUUCAUGAGGCAAAGUUCCACAUUCAAUUUGAAAAAUAAAAAUGACAUUUAAUGGUGGAAAAUGACAUUUUUCAUCAAUACCCAAACGCCACUAACGUUACACAUGCUCUGUGUUACAGACGGCCAUGUCGGGGAUUCAGUCCGCUCCGCUAUACGUCUGAAUGGUCUCUAGACAAAAUAAAUAUAGGGUGUAACUACCUGUCAUCAAAAGCUGUGGACAACAGUCGCACACAGCUCCUAAACAGGCCUCCGUAACCACGUUGAAUGACUCCUGGAGAAUACAAAUACUGUUUGUCCAGGUGCACCAAUGACAAAAAAAAACCUGCCCCACUCUGCUCACAACCAUAAGUCCUGUGUGGGUGUGCAUGUGUUAACAUUUAAAAGGUUGUGUGUGUGUGUGUGUGUGUGUUUCCCAUAAUCACAUCGUGAUGAGGGAGUAACUGUGCUUUGCUGAUGUGUGCGCCGAUAGACACCUGCGAACUGCGUCUUUCUCUCUCCGUGUGUCCUCACCUGUGACCCUCUUUCAACGCAACACGCAUCUGCUCUCUCGUCGUUGUGCGCGCGUCCACCCGUCGCUCUCUCCUCCAUCCUCCACCUCCGCCCUGCUCGCCUCCCCCACCACCCGACACACACAGAGGCCCCCGAACGGUUGGUUUAGCUGGAAGGAUUCCUGGCAGAGUGAUUUUGUUGUGAUGUAAUGUAAAUCACAUUGCCAGGGAUUUCCAACCAGCUAAAGCUGAGACCCACGCCGCUUGUCUGACCCCCCCUACUCCCAAGACGGCUGCUCGGCAACACCAUCGGCCGAAGAAGUCGCGUGUGCACGUUCUCGCCGGCGGACUAACUGCUCUCACGUAGUUGACACGUGUUCCCCCGCGUGUUGGUCCAGAGUUUGACGGAGGGGCAGGACUUAGCUCGCUCCGUGAACAGUCCAGUGAAAGCCUGUGUUCACAGUGGCUAAGUUCCGCUCCUCACAAGCCCUUCCAGCUCUCAAGGAAUCAACAUGGAAGCGUCCUGUUUUCUAUUUGCUGCCACGUGGUGGAUGAACUUGCACCGUUGAAUUUACCCGCUUACAAGUCUCCUUGAGGAGCGGUUUCAGUGAGAAUUCAUUGAUUUGGCCGUUUAAUUUUCCGUCGUUUCCGUUGUUAAUCUGUUGUUUAUUUAUCUAAAUAUAUAAAUACUUUAUAUCGUGGCAAAUGUGUUCCCAGCAACCCAUUUAUGUCAUAGGAACAAGAAUCCGUUAUGUCAGAUGUACAGUAGCCAAUGUAAUGUUGUGUAACGGGCUCGAGGAAUGUCCUUUCUUUGUUCUGUGACCGUCUAUGUUGUCCCUCCUCGACAGACGGAGGGAAAAAAGUGCACAAUAGCUUCAGUGUGAGGGAAGAAUAAGACGAGGAUCUUGAUGAGAAAGAGCGAUGGGUGAGAGAAGUAUAGGCAGCGAGGGGAGGGCUCGCUCGUGCAGGAAGGAAGUACAGGAAAUGUCCCAUCAGGGAAACAAGUAGCGACGUAAUUGUGAUCCGUGAGCUCAUUCGGAGUCUGGGUGGUCGUCAAAGCAAAGCCCUGAUUGCGCGCGUAUCCAUGUGUGCACGCAGCUAUCCACGUGUAGGCGGAAAAAGGACCACACAAUGCUGCUAACUUGGUUCAAUAAAGACCAGAAUAAUGUACAUGUUCAGUUUGAUUUCAAUUACAUGUCUGUUUUAAUGUUUAGGAUUAUAUUGUUUGUUCUCAUUCCCUUGACUUUAUUCCUGCAUUGAUUUGAUUUCUAUUUUAUUUACUGCAUGUUGUGACUUAAUAUUGUUCAUGUCCUUCAAUCCAUCCAUCUAUCAAUUCAAAUAUACCUGUAUGUAUAGAGAUCUGGAUCAUUAUGUGCAUUGUGUAACCCUUUUUACUUGUGAAACGAUACCCUUAUCUGGCAUUUGCCUGCCGUUGUGGUGAAGGUGAGGUGGUGCAGGUGGUGCAGGUGGUGCAGGUACCUGGGCUCAACCUCCUGUGCCUACUGAGCUGAUAACAGUUAGAUGUUAAACAAACACUGGCUCAGUUCAGCAGGAACCGGAGUUAGGCCCUCUAGAAACAACCCGUGCCGUCGCCACACAACAGGACAUUAAAGGCCGUGUUUCAAUUCACAUGUUUGCGCGCCUGUUUUGACAUAUCGCAAUGGACAAGAGUCGAGGACUUCCUCAAUGGCGGGAAAUUGUUUUUGCGUUGUUUAUGAUUCUGUCUGAAUAAGAGUUGACGAGCUGGCUGUUUGCUGGCAGAUUACAGCCAAACGUAACUUAUGGCGCCAACUUCAGAGCCAAAUAUGUAAAGCCCUCCGAGGCAAAUUUGUGAUUUUGCCCUAUAAUUCAGUGCGAACAUGGCUAGCGUUGCCAUAGCACUGUAAAUUCAGCUUUCUGUGUCUGCAGCAGUAUAGCCUGCCUAUAAGUACUUUUUCCCUCCAAGGACGUAAUUAUUUCUUUACACCUGUAAUAAAAGGGCUUUACACUUUCUACACAAAGGCCCAUCGAGGGCGUUCUCCAGUGCUGCCGAAGCAAAGAACUCACGUCCCACACAUCCUCUUGGAGUGGUAACCUCUCUGUUAAGCUUGUAAUGGAGGAUAUCUGCUUCUGUUGGUUUGGUAUUACUGAAAAAUCACAGGAGCAGAGUUUUUCCAGUUGUACUUUCUACAUCGGACUGCACGAAGGCUACAAGAAGACUCAUUUGGAUGUCGUCAAAGUCCAGCUGGUGCAUUUCAAUAAAUGUUGAACGUGCCUUAGUUCCUGCAUGCUAAUCAAUUUAAUUAAAAGAUAUAGUGAAUUAAUUAUUAAUUAUCAAAUGUAAUUCAGAACAUUUUUUCUCGACAAAGCUGAGCUUACAGCUAGAAGCUAACGGCGCUAACUCCACAAACAGUGUGAGGGUGCUAACAGUGUUAGCGUGGCGUGGAAAAGGAGGCGUGGCUUACAGCGCGGAGCAGCAGCCAAUAGCUAACCAGUUGGGAAUCUUCAACAAACAUGGGAAAAGAUUGUAGAUUACUCACUUUUAUAAAUGAGUGUUAAUGAACAUCAAUAUUUUUUGUUAAAUUAUGAAUGGAAAGUACUUGUGAUUUGUUUUUUGCUACUUGAUAUCAUUGUUCAAUAAAGAAUUUUACCACAUG